rnacentral:lncRNA from 1 species
UUCCCAUUAACUGGAGGAUGAUUCUUUUGUAUUUCUUCUGUGCCUGAGUGGAUUUAACCCCAAGGAUAAGAAGGAAGUGUUUGUUCUAAUCAGAUAAGGUUGCCUGUAGAAACGUAAUGCAUUACCUCAAUAUUUUUUUAACUUAUCGUAUGCAAGUCAAUAACCAGUUUAAUGUUUGUCUUGUUAGACUUUAAUGUGUCAAUUCUCGAUUGUAUUUUAAAUCAAAGCCUUACAUUUUUAAAAGACCAAUUAUAUUUUUUCCUUGUAGAGAUCUUUGCGCUCUCUCUCUCUCUCUCUCUCUCUGUCUCCAUCUCUCCUCUCCAUCCUUCUUGGUGCAAGCUUUGCCAACCAAGAGGCCUUACAGAGGGAGCUACAUUAGACACCAGAUGAGUUAAAAAAAAAAAAAAAAGCUACUUAUUGAUUUUAAAUGGUUAAUGCCAAAGGGGCAAAGUUAGCAACACUGGUGGGGGAGGGGUGGAAGGGCUGUUCCUCUAGGCAAGUUGGGUGGUGAGGGCACUGCCUCUGCCCUCCAGCCUGGCACAGCACGGCUUUAUCCCGUCUGCACUCAGCGCAAAUGCCAGUACUUCACGUGCUUGGCUUCCUGCCCCCAGCAGCCCUAACAACACCAGAAAGCGUUCCUGGUACCUCCUAAAGGAGUGGCCUCUAGGGAGAUCUUCCUUCCCCUUUGGCCAUCAUGGAGGUCUGCGGACCACCCUGUCCAUCCCUGUCUGUCUGCUUUGGUUUUCCCUCCCCACUGCUCCCUCUCACUUUUUAACUGGCCUCAGAGCAAAGCUCAACGUUCUCUCUGGCUGGUGAUCAAAGGGGCCCCGUGUGCCUGCCUGGCUCUUCACUUCAGAGAUGGGGGCAUGUUUGUGUUGGGCGGCCGAUGACUCUCUGUAAGGAAAGGAAGGCCUGCACGUGACUUGCGGGGUCUCUACCUCGUUGCUGACAUUCUGAGGACAUUUUCUAGUCACUGUGCUACAAUUUCUUAAGGUUU